UACGGAGGGUGCGAGCGUUGUCCGGAAUCACUGGGCGUAAAGGGCGCGUAGGCGGCCGGAGAAGUCGGUGGUGAAAGCUCGGGGCUCAACUCCCGAGUCGGCCACCGAUACUGUUCGGCUCGAGUUUGGUAGAGGCAGAUGGAAUUCCGGGUGUAGCGGUGGAAUGCGUAGAGAUCCGGAAGAACACCCGUGGCGAAGGCGGCUCUCUGGAACGCAACUGACGCUGAGACGCGAAAGCGUGGGGAGCAAACAGGG
rnacentral:rRNA from 1 species